rnacentral:rRNA from 1 species
GAUGAACGCUGGCGGCGUGCCUAAUACAUGCAAGUCGAGCGAACGGACGAGAAGCUUGCUUCUCUGAUGUUAGCGGCGGACGGGUGAGUAACACGUGGAUAACCUACCUAUAAGACUGGGAUAACUUCGGGAAACCGUAGCUAAUACCGGAUAAUAUUUUGAACCGCAUGGUUCAAAAGUGAAAGACGGUCUUGCUGUCACUUAUAGAUGGAUCCGCGCUGCAUUAGCUAGUUGGUAAGGUAACGGCUUACCAAGGCAACGAUGCAUAGCCGACCUGAGAGGGUGAUCGGCCACACUGGAACUGAGACACGGUCCAGACUCCUACGGGAGGCAGCAGUAGGGAAUCUUCCGCAAUGGGCGAAAGCCUGACGGAGCAACGCCGCGUGAGUGAUGAAGGUCUUCGGAUCGUAAAACUCUGUUAUUAGGGAAGAACAUAUGUGUAAGUAACUGUGCACAUCUUGACGGUACCUAAUCAGAAAGCCACGGCUAACUACGUGCCAGCAGCCGCGGUAAUACGUAGGUGGCAAGCGUUAUCCGGAAUUAUUGGGCGUAAAGCGCGCGUAGGCCGGUUUUUUAGUCUGAUGUGAAAGCCCACGGCUCAACCGUGGAGGGUCAUUGGAAACUGGAAAACUUGAGUGCAGAAGAGGAAAGUGGAAUUCCAUGUGUAGCGGUGAAAUGCGCAGAGAUAUGGAGGAACACCAGUGGCGAAGGCGACUUUCUGGUCUGUAACUGACGCUGAUGUGCGAAAGCGUGGGGAUCAAACAGGAUUAGAUACCCUGGUAGUCCACGCCGUAAACGAUGAGUGCUAAGUGUUAGGGGGUUUCCGCCCCUUAGUGCUGCAGCUAACGCAUUAAGCACUCCGCCUGGGGAGUACGACCGCAAGGUUGAAACUCAAAGGAAUUGACGGGGACCCGCACAAGCGGUGGAGCAUGUGGUUUAAUUCGAAGCAACGCGAAGAACCUUACCAAAUCUUGACAUCCUUUGACAACUCUAGAGAUAGAGCCUUCCCCUUCGGGGGACAAAGUGACAGGUGGUGCAUGGUUGUCGUCAGCUCGUGUCGUGAGAUGUUGGGUUAAGUCCCGCAACGAGCGCAACCCUUAAGCUUAGUUGCCAUCAUUAAGUUGGGCACUCUAAGUUGACUGCCGGUGACAAACCGGAGGAAGGUGGGGAUGACGUCAAAUCAUCAUGCCCCUUAUGAUUUGGGCUACACACGUGCUACAAUGGACAAUACAAAGGGCAGCGAAACCGCGAGGUCAAGCAAAUCCCAUAAAGUUGUUCUCAGUUCGGAUUGUAGUCUGCAACUCGACUACAUGAAGCUGGAAUCGCUAGUAAUCGUAGAUCAGCAUGCUACGGUGAAUACGUUCCCGGGUCU